GUGCUCACUUUGGCAGCACACAUACUAAAAUUGGAACAAUACAGAGAAGAUUAGCAUGGCCCUGCAUCAGGAUGGCAUGCAAAUUUGUGAAGCAUUUCAUAUUUUG